UGCCAAAGUGUUGAGUACAGUUUGCAUUGAACUGUGCACUCUGAUAAUUUAGCUUUGGUAAAGUAUUUGCUGUGUAUAUUAAAUCUUGACUUUGUAGUUAUUAUACUCAGUCUUAGUUUAUGUGGCAAACACUU